rnacentral:rRNA from 1 species
CGUAAACGAUGACAACUAGCUGUUGGGAGACAAGAUCUCUCAGUGGCGCAGCUAACGCUUUAAGUUGUCCGCCUGGGGAGUACGGCCGCAAGGUUAAAACUCAAAUGAAUUGACGGGGACCCGCACAAGCGGUGGAGCAUGUGGUUUAAUUCGAUGCAACGCGAAAAACCUUACCUACUCUUGACAUACUUGGAAGCUCUUGUAAUGAGAGUGUGCUUUUAGAGCCAAGAUACAGGUGCUGCAUGGCUGUCGUCAGCUCGUGUCGUGAGAUGUUGGGUUAAGUCCCAUAACGAGCGCAACCCUUACCCUUAUUUGCCAGCGGUUCGGCCGGGAACUAUAAGGGGACUGCCGGUGACAAACCGGAGGAAGGUGAGGACGACGUCAAGUCAUCAUGGCCCUUACGAGUAGGGCUACACACGUGCUACAAUGGGGAAUACAGACGGACGCUAAAGCGUGAGCUGGUGCUAAUCCUAAAAAAUUUCUCGUAGUCCGGAUUGCAGUCUGCAACUCGACUGCAUGAAGUCGGAAUCGCUAGUAAUCGCGAAUCAGCAUGUCGCGGUGAAUACGUUCUCGGGUCUUGUACACACCGCCCGUCACACCAUGGAAGUGUGUUGCACCAGAAGUAGGUAGUCUAACCUUCGGGAAGGCGCUUACCACGGUGUGAUCCAUGACUGGGGUGAAGUCGUAACAAGGUAGCC